CAGUCGCCGCGGGAAUACGUAGGUGGCAAGCGUUGUCCGGAAUUAUUGGGCGUAAAGCGCGCGCAGGUGGUUUAAUAAGUCUGAUGUGAAAGCCCACGGCUCAACCGUGGAGGGUCAUUGGAAACUGUUAAACUUGAGUGCAGGAGAGAAAAGUGGAAUUCCUAGCGUAGCGGUGAAAUGCGUAGAGAUUAGGAGGAACACCAGUGGCGAAGGCGGCUUUUUGGCCUGUAACUGACACUGAGGCGCGAAAGCGUGGGGAGCAAACAGGAUUAGAUACCCGUGUAGUCCCUGUCUCUUAUAC
rnacentral:rRNA from 1 species